rnacentral:rRNA from 1 species
GACGAACGCUGGCGGCGUGCUUAACACAUGCAAGUCGAGCGGUAAGGCCCUUUCGGGGGUACACGAGCGGCGAACGGGUGAGUAACACGUGGGUGACCUGCCCUCAGCUCUGGGAUAAGCCUGGGAAACCGGGUCUAAUACCGGAUAUGACUCCAUGACGCAUGUUGUGGGGUGGAAAGCCUUGUGCGGCUGAGGAUGGGCCCGCGGCCUAUCAGCUUGUUGGUGGGGUGAUGGCCUACCAAGGCGACGACGGGUAGCCGGCCUGAGAGGGCGACCGGCCACACUGGGACUGAGACACGGCCCAGACUCCUACGGGAGGCAGCAGUGGGGAAUCUUGCGCAAUGGGCGAAAGCCUGACGCAGCGGCGCCGCGUGAGGGAUGACGGCCUGG